rnacentral:tRNA from 1 species
GAAGAGGUGACUUAGUGGUCAAAAGCAUUGGCUGCUCUUGAAAAGGACCUGGGUUCGAUUCCCAGCAUCUAUG